UACGUAGGUGGCAAGCGUUAUCCGGAAUUAUUGGGCGUAAAGCGCGCGUAGGCGGUUUUUUAAGUCUGAUGUGAAAGCCCACGGCUCAACCGUGGAGGGUCAUUGGAAACUGGAAAACUUGAGUGCAGAAGAGGAAAGUGGAAUUCCAUGUGUAGCGGUGAAAUGCGCAGAGAUAUGGAGGAACACCAGUGGCGAAGGCGACUUUCUGGUCUGUAACUGACGCUGAUGUGCGAAAGCGUGGGGAUCAAACAGGAUUAGA
rnacentral:rRNA from 1 species